GACGAACGCUGGCGGCGUGCUUAACACAUGCAAGUCGAACGAUGAACUUGGAGCUUGCUCUGGGGGAUUAGUGGCGAACGGGUGAGUAACACGUGAGUAACCUGCCCUGGACUCUGGGAUAACUUCGAGAAAUCGGAGCUAAUACCGGAUAGGACCUUGCACCGCAUGGUGUGGGGUGGAAAGCUUUUCGGUUUGGGACGGACUCGCGGCCUAUCAGCUUGUUGGUGAGGUAAUGGCUCACCAAGGCGUCGACGGGUAGCCGGCCUGGGAGGGUGACCGGCCACACUGGGACUGAGACACGGCCCAGACUCCUACGGGAGGCAGCAGUGGGGAAUAUUGCACAAUGGGCGCAAGCCUGAUGCAGCAACGCCGCGUGCGGGAUGACGGCCUUCGGGUUGUAAACCGCUUUUAGUAGGGAAGAAGCCUUCGGGUGACGGUACCUGCAGAAAAAGGACCGGCUAACUACGUGCCAGCCGCCGCCGUAAUAC
rnacentral:rRNA from 1 species